CGCUGACGACCGGCGCACGGGUGCGUAACGCGUAUACAAUCUGCCUUGUACUGAGGGAUAGCCUUUGGAAACGAAGAUUAAUACCUCAUGGUAUAUAUGAAUGGCAUCAUUUAUAUAUUAAAGGUUACGGUACAAGAUGAGUAUGCGUCCUAUUAGCUAGAUGGUGUGGUAACGGCACACCAUGGCAACGAUAGGUAGGGGCCCUGAGAGGGGGAUCCCCCACACUGGUACUGAGACACGGACCAGACUCCUACGGGAGGCAGCAGUGAGGAAUAUUGGGCAAUGGAGGCAACUCUGACCCAGCCAUGCCGCGUGCAGGAAGACUGCCCUAUGGGUUGUAAACUGCUUUUAUACAGGAAGAAACACUCCCACGUGUGGGGGCUUGACGGUACUGUAAGAAUAAGGAUCGGCUAACUCCGUGCCAGCAGCCGCGGUAAUACGGAGGAUCCAAGCGUUAUCCGGAAUCAUUGGGUUUAAAGGGUCCGUAGGUGGAUUAAUAAGUCAGAGGUGAAAUCCUGCAGCUCAACUGUAGAACUGCCUUUGAUACUGUUAAUCUUGAGUCAUUAUGAAGUGGUUAGAAUGUGUAGUGUAGCGGUGAAAUGCAUAGAUAUUACACAGAAUACCGAUUGCGAAGGCAGAUCACUAAUAAUGUACUGACACUGAGGGACGAAAGCGUGGGGAGCGAACAGGAUUAGAUACCCUGGUAGUCCACGCCGUAAACGAUGGUCACUAGCUGUUCGGACUUCGGUCUGAGUGGCUAAGCGAAAGUGAUAAGUGACCCACCUGGGGAGUACGUUCGCAAGAAUGAAACUCAAAGGAAUUGACGGGGGCCCGCACAAGCGGUGGAGCAUGUGGUUUAAUUCGAUGAUACGCGAGG
rnacentral:rRNA from 1 species